AGUGAACGCUGGCGGCAGGCCUAACACAUGCAAGUCGAGCGGCAGCGCGGGGGCAACCCUGGCGGCGAGCGGCGGACGGGUGAGGAAUUCGUCGGAAUCUGCCUUUUUGUGGGGGAUAACGUAGGGAAACUUACGCUAAUACCGCAUACGUCCUACGGGAGAAAGUGGGGGACCGCAAGGCCUCACGCAGAAAGAUGAGCCGACGACCGAUUAGCUAGUUGGUGGGGUAAAGGCCCACCAAGGCGACGAUCGGUAGCUGGUCUGAGGGGAUGAUCAGCCACACUGGGACUGAGACACGGCCCAGACUCCUACGGGAGGCAGCAGUGGGGAAUAUUGGACAAUGGGCGCAAGCCUGAUCCAGCCAUGCCGCGUGUGUGAAGAAGGCCUUCGGGUUGUAAAGCACUUUUGUCCGGAAAGAAAUCCCUGGAGCUAAUACCUUCGGGGGAUGACGGUACCGGAAGAAUAAGCACCGGCUAACUUCGUG
rnacentral:rRNA from 1 species